rnacentral:rRNA from 1 species
GAUGAACGCUAGCUACAGGCUUAACACAUGCAAGUCGAGGGGCAGCACAGUGUAGCAAUACAUGGGUGGCGACCGGCGCACGGGUGCGUAACGCGUAUCCAACCUUCCCGUUACUCAGGGAUAGCCUUCCGAAAGGGAGAUUAAUACCUGAUGGUAUUCAAAUUCCGCAUGUUAUUUAAAUUAAAGAUUUAUCGGUAACGGAUGGGGAUGCGUGACAUUAGGUAGAUGGCGGGGUAACGGCCCACCAUGCCUACGAUGUCUAGGGGUUCUGAGAGGAAGGACCCCCACACUGGAACUGAGACACGGUACAGACUCCUACGGGAGGCAGCAGUGAGGAAUAUUGUUCAAUGGUCGGAAGACUGAACCAGCCAAGUAGCGUGAAGGAUAAAGGUUCUAUGGAUUGUAAGCUUCUUUUAUACGGGAAUAAAACCACCUACGUGUAGGUGCUUGUAUGUACCGUAUGAAUAAGCAUCGGCUAACUCCGUGCCAGCCGCCGCCGUAACAC